rnacentral:rRNA from 1 species
ACGGCUCAGUAACACGUCGGUAACCUACCCUCGGGAGGGGGAUAACCCCGGGAAACUGGGGCUAAUUCCCCAUAGGCCUGAGGUACUGGAAGGUCCUCAGGCCGAAAGGGACUUAUGUCCGCCCGAGGACGGGCCGGCGGCCGAUUAGGUAGUUGGUGGGGUAAUGGCCCACCAAGCCGAAGAUCGGUACGGGCUGUGAGAGCAGGAGCCCGGAGAUGGACACUGAGACACGGGUCCAGGCCCUACGGGGCGCAGCAGGCGCGAAACCUCCGCAAUGCGGGAAACCGCGACGGGGGGACCCCGAGUGCCGUGGCAACGCCACGGCUUUUCCGGAGUGUAAAAAGCUCCGGGAAUAAGGGCUGGGCAAGGCCGGUGGCAGCCGCCGCGGUAAUACCGGCGGCCCGAGUGGUGGCCGCUAUUAUUGGGCCUAAAGCGUCCGUAGCCGGGCCCGUAAGUCCCUGGCGAAAUCCCACGGCUCAACCGUGGGGCUUGCUGGGGAUACUGCGGGUCUUGGGACCGGGAGAGGCGGGGGGUACCCCUGGGGUAGGGGUGAAAUCCUAUAAUCCCAGGGGGACCGCCAGUGGCGAAGGCGCCCCGCUGGAACGGGUCCGACGGUGAGGGACGAAGGCCAGGGGAGCAAACCGGAUUAGAUACCCGGGUAGUCCUGGCUGUAAAGGAUGCGGGCUAGGUGUCGGGUGAGCCUCGAGCUCGCCCGGUGCCGUAGGGAAGCCGUUAAGCCCGCCGCCUGGGGAGUACGGCCGCAAGGCUGAAACUUAAAGGAAUUGGCGGGGGAG